rnacentral:sRNA from 1 species
UUUAUCCAUGCCCACUAUUCAGUGUCAGAUUUCGGAAGCCAUUGUUUGGAGAGACGGGGCAUACCAUCAUGAAUCUUCUUGCAGACUUCAGAAAUUACCAGUAUACCUUGCCAGUAGUUCAAGGUUUGGUGGUUGAUAUGGAAGUUCGGAAAACUAGCAUCAAAAUUCCCAGCAACAGAUACAAUGAGAUGAUGAAAGCCAUGAACAAGUCCAAUGAGCAUGUCCUGGCAGGAGGUGCCUGCUUCAAUGAAAAGGCAGACUCUCAUCUUGUGUGUGUACAGAAUGAUGAUGGAAACUAUCAGACCCAGGCUAUUAGUAUUCACAAUCAGCCCAGAAAAGUGACUGGUGCCAGUUUCUUUGUGUUCAGUGGCGCUCUGAAAUCCUCUUCUGGAUACCUUGCCAAGUCCAGUAUUGUGGAAGGUAAAGAAUGAAUUGUUCAGUCCUCAUAAUAAGGACUGAACUUAUGUACAUAAAGGGAAUCCUUUACACUUCUGCUGUAGAUGUCUGACUCCUACUGUUUUUUCAGUAGCAUCUCUUCAGCAAAUUAAAACUGCCAUGAGAGUGCUUAGUUCUCUGAAGAAAGGAGUAAGUGGUAGGGAUACCAUGUGACAAUGACAUUAAAACUAGGAGAUGGCCUUUCAGAGCUCUGGGAUAAGGUACCUGAGGGCAUGUAGUCUGAGUUCAAAUAUAUCAUUGGGUGGAAAUAUUAAUAUCUAAAUGUGUAGAUGAAAGUCUCUCCUGUCCACAAGAAUGCUGUGGUCAUCAUUUGGAGUACAAAAUGGCAUGUGCUUGCUGCUAGUGUGCUAUAAUUAGACAUGACACAUAUGUUGACAAAAGUUAAUUAAACUAAAGGCUAAUUGGCA